ACAUUCUGCUUAAACUGUUUCUU
rnacentral:tRNA from 1 species